rnacentral:rRNA from 1 species
GACGAACGCUGGCGGCGUGCUUAACACAUGCAAGUCGUACGGUAAGGCCCUUUCGGGGGUCCACGAGUGGCGAACGGGUGAGUAACACGUGAGUAACCUGCCCACAACUUUGGGAUAACGCUAGGAAACUGGUGCUAAUACUGGAUAUGUGCUCCUGCUGCAUGGUGGGGGUUGGAAAGCUCCGGCGGUUGUGGAUGGACUCGCGGCCUAUCAGCUUGUUGGUGGGGUAGUGGCCUACCAAGGCGGCGACGGGUAGCCGGCCUGAGAGGGUGACCGGCCACAUUGGGACUGAGAUACGGCCCAGCCUCCUACGGGAGGCAGCAGUGGGGAAUAUUGCACAAUGGGCGCAAGCCUGAUGCAGCAACGCCGCGUGCGGGAUGACGGCCUUCGGGUUGUAAACCGCUUUCAGCAGGGACGAAGCUUUUUGUGACGGUACCUGCAGAAGAAGCACCGGCUAACUACGUG